AUACUGCUGCUGUCUUGUUUUGUCUCGUUCUGGCCUGUUAUCGUCUUACAAACAUUUAUAGACUGGCCUCGACUGACUUCUGGUUUUAUGUAGAGGUGCGGCCACCUGUUGAGGGGCUAGGCACGUGAGGUGGAAUCCCCUCCCUGGUGCAUGAGAGUGUACACACCGGGCAUAGGUAGAUUGCACCAUUUAGAUUUCAGUGUGAGUGACAGUGAGGUUUGCAGUGGAACUACACAGGUGGCGUUGUCAACAUCCUUUACUCACCUUCCCUGGUUAUCCCUCAUUCGUGCCUCCACAGUAAAAUGAGGGUUAUGUUUUGGCUUGCACAAACAGUGUUUGGAUGUAGAAAAAUAAACAAAGG